rnacentral:rRNA from 1 species
CCUACGGGAGGCAGCAGUGGGGAAUAUUGGACAAUGGGGGGAACCCUGAUCCAGCCAUGCCGCGUGUGUGAAGAAGGCCCUCGGGUUGUAAAGCACUUUCAGUGAGGAAGAACGCCUGGUGGUUAAUACCCAUCAGGAAAGACAUCACUCACAGAAGAAGCACCGGCUAACUCCGUGCCAGCAGCCGCGGUAAUACGGAGGGUGCGAGCGUUAAUCGGAAUUACUGGGCGUAAAGCGCGCGUAGGUGGCUUGAUAAGCCGGUUGUGAAAGCCCCGGGCUCAACCUGGGAACGGCAUCUGGAACUGUCAAGCUAGAGUGCAGGAGAGGAAGGUAGAAUUCCCGGUGUAGCGGUGAAAUGCGUAGAGAUCGGGAGGAAUACCAGUGGCGAAGGCGGCCUUCUGGACUGACACUGACACUGAGGUGCGAAAGCGUGGGUAGCAAACAGGAUUAGAUACCCGAGUAGUC